AAGCAUCAGUUCCUUUCUCAGAACUUGACUUGCUCAUGCACUAGAGAAUUUGUGGUCCACAUGCUUCUAGGUGUUACUCGAUUCACUAAUACUGAAACAGCUCAGCUUGUGAAAGAUAAAUUGUUCUUCAGACAGAGUGCUUAGAAUUAGAUUUGUGAUCAGUGUUUUCCUUUUGUGUGAAAUACUUUAGAGUACUGCUAUAAUUGUUAUUCAAAUUAGAAGGUUAUAUACAUAAAACUAAAGAUUUUCUUGUACUAGUGCUUAUUCUUCAUAAACACAGUGUAAAGAAAUCUACUUUUUUGGUGGUUUGUUUUAGACUCCCAACUCUGCCUAGUGGCAGAAAAACCUCUUAAUAGUGUGGGUCAUCAUAAAAUCUGCCAACUUUAAUCCAAAUAAGUAUCAAGAGUCUUCAUUCAAUAUUCUUUCAAACUUGUUUGUCUCGAACAAAUUAGAGUUUUAGCACUUAUUGUUCAAUGUACUAUAGUAAUUGUAUUUAAUAGUAAGAAAAUAUAUAAGCAAUGAUUUUUUAAAAGGGAGUUCUCAAGAGUUUUGGAUUUCUUUCUGCCGUGUAUAGAGGUUUCUUAUGCAUGGACAUUUGUGCUGUUUUAUAUCUUUUUCAAUUAAAAAAAAAUUUAAAGGCAUCAGGCUCCCUAAGUUCAUUUGUAAAUAGUGGCUUGGAACUCUACACAAUAGGGAAGCUCCUAAAGGCUCAUUUAGACCAUAAUCUAGUUAAUAGUAUCAUGCUGAACUCUCAGUUUUCUUUAGGAAACCAAUCAAUCAGUGUAGGAGGGAGAAAGAAGCAGAGGUCUUGUCUUUUUCCUGAUGUGAUUAGGAGGUUAAGUUCUUUGGUGUGGGUUUCUUUGCAUUUGCCCCCUUACCAUGCUAAACUCUGGUGAAAUGUAUAAGCAGCCUUGGCUUUUCCUCUCCUGGGUGCUCUGUGCUUCAACAUUUUAUAUCUUUCCUCCCAUCAGAAAUCCUGUGUCUUUGUGUGGCAGUAGUAGUUGGCUAGACUUUAAGAGAAAAGCAUUUUCUACUAAGGUAUGAAUGAAGAUAGUGGGAAAAGUGUCAUUAAAUUUCUUUUUUAAAAAAGUAUGUUUAUUAAGAAUGAAUCUUUAAUAUCUAACAUUUCAGACAAUAUGACCGCAUUUCAGAUACCAUGGGAAGCAGUACAUUUAGUGAAUUAGCUGGUACUGUCUGAGGGUACUUCCAGUUUCCUUUAGGCUGUUGUGACUUUUCACAGCUUCCUCUCCUCUAAUUCUGAACUUAGAGAUUUUCUUCUCAUUUCUAAUUUUUAGUAGCUUAUUGUUCCAUCCAGUAGAGCAUUAUAAAAGUCACAUCUGCAUCUUCCAACUUAUGGUACAGUGAUGGGAAUUUGGAAGCACCCCUGGAGCAAAGAGGCUAGGGAUAGCAUUAACAUCUCCCAAGACAAGUGGUAUAGGGGAAAUGAAGGAAAGACUGUGGCCAUGUAUAUGCCAGGCGUUAAUACAUCAGAGCUGCCUGUAUUUAAUUUAAAACUUUUGAUGAAACUCAGUGGAUAAGCAUCUUUGUCAUAUUUUGUCAAUAAUACAUUACUUGCAAUUAUAUUAAAACUUAUUCUAAAUACCUGUACCUUUCUUGUUCUGUAGAUGUGUAGAUGAUGUUGCUUGUUUGUCAAAAUAUUAUCUUUUAUAAAAGAAAGUCCUGCUUCUUAUCAUGAUGUAUGUGACUUAAAUGAUUGUUUCAUAUUAAAACUAUUUCUUCCUUAUGUACUGUUUACAUAUACCUCUUUUUGGGAUAUUAGUUCAGUACUUUUAUACAAAUCUGAGUGUGUUCCACAUUGGUGACAUGUAUUUUUGCAGUAACUUUUUGUUUUGUUCUUAGAACAUGUCUAAAGUAACACAUGCACUAGUGCUGUGGUCUGUGGCAAAAUUACUGUAAUUCAAAUUGGAAAAAAAAAUGUUUCCAGACUUUGUCCAACAUUUAUUCCUAUGGCAAAGGAAAUUACUAUGUAAUACUAAUUAUUUCUUAUGCUGGUAUGUUUUAAGCUACUCUAUGAAGUAUGUGAAACAUCAAUAUUUAUGGAUUAAUAGAUGGCCUGAUGUCUUUCAAAUGGGAGAGGAGUAAAUUUUAGUGUUACCAACUCAUGACACUUGUAAUACAAUAAAUCUUAAAAUUUUUAUUUUCCACUUACAGGUAUACUUUACUAAAUAAUUACCUUAAAUGGCAGUGCAUAUUAGGAUUUUUUAGCACAUACUACUAAAAUUAUAUAGUAACUUUUAACUUGUGCUGAUAUUUCCCAACCAAAAAAGACAUCAUUCACUUCAUCAUAACCAAAAUAAGUAGUACUGUAAUAUUUAUCUUCAUUUAUUUAGACAUGAUUAAGAUACCGUAAGACUCCUCUAAUUUACCUGGAAUUUUUAGCCAUUGAUUCAAGGACUUGAAUGCUGUUUACUUGGUACUACCUAAUGAAAGGAUUUGGUAAUAAAGGUUAUAAUCACGAUUUUAAAGAAAAAUGUUUCAUCUUGAAGGCAAAUUUUUAAGCUUUUUAUUUAGAGGUGUUUACUUAAGAAUAGUAAUUUAAAAGCAUUCUUAUUUUGUCAUUAAGACAAGUACCCAAAAGAAUUGUAAUAAGUAAUACUUGGCCAAUGCAAAUUUGUACAUUUGAAAUCAUACACUUGAAAGAAAAAAAUGAAGGCUUGUGAGUGCUUAAACUGCAUAUCUUUUUAAAAAUUCAAAUUUUAGACAUAUCAGUUUAAAUUAUCCUUAAUAAGGUUUUACUAUGUCAGUGAUGUAUAUUACAAAAUGUCUACCUAUGUUAUGUUAAUGAUAUCUCUAUACUGCAUCAUAUUCGGCAUGGUUAUGGUAUAUUUUGUACUUUUGAUUGUGGACUAUUGAUAGGAUUGAUAUAGCAAUAAAUCUGAUUCAGACUUAAUAUUUUUUAAAACGCUAGAUACCAUACUGUAUCAUAAUCCUAUUAUAUUUGACUUGAAUGCCCAAAAUUUUCAUAGUUCUAUAUUUUAUGUUAAAAAUUUAGUAUUACAUGUUAGGGAUUUAUUUUUGUCUGCUAUUUUCACAUACAUUCUUUUAGAACUGAGUCUGUUUCUAUUUAGAUCAUAGACGUCUAAAGAAGUAUUAUUAAUUCAUGAACUGCUUUGUGGAAAAAUUUAAAUAAAGUAUGAAAUGACUAGAUUACCCCAAAUUGUUUAUUUUUUUUUUUGGUUAAUGACCAGGUUACAAUUCUCAGACAAAUGAAAUUGGCUUGAUAACUGAUUGAAUAUAGUAGAUAAUGGAAAGUUUGACUCUUUAAGGGCUUCCAAGUGUUAAAUACAUUCUCAAUUCUGAAUUACUUCAUAGUAACUACUUAAAUAAUGGUAAGCCAAUUCUCCUUUUUCUUUUUGAGAUAUUUAACACAAUUUGCGUCUUCUGAUCCCAUUCCCUUCUUCCCCAAAAACCAUGCUAGAAUUUAAAAUUGGAAGAGUUUAAUUUGUCAUCUACAUUUUAGUUUUUUUAUUCUAUAGAUAAGUAAGAAGACAAGUAGACGUUCUGCUGUCAAGACAGUCCAUGUUAUUGUUGGCCAUUCUUUUCAGGGAUAAUGCUUAAUGUUAUUUGUGCGUUGUAUAAGGAAUGUUGUUUAUCAGUAUAUAGACCUACCAUUAGUAGAAAUGAUGUAUGGCAGGCUUUCUUGAAUAAUAUGUAUUGUAAGUUUGUUUCCUAUAGUGUUAUUAUGGUUCAGAUUCUUUUAAAUAAAGCUAGUUUUUAAAGAGAAAAA
rnacentral:lncRNA from 1 species